rnacentral:rRNA from 1 species
AUACGUAGGGUGCGAGCGUUGUCCGGAAUUACUGGGCGUAAAGAGCUCGUAGGUGGUUUGUCGCGUCGUCUGUGAAAUUCCGGGGCUUAACUCCGGGCGUGCAGGCGAUACGGGCAUAACUUGAGUACUGUAGGGGAGACUGGAAUUCCUGGUGUAGCGGUGAAAUGCGCAGAUAUCAGGAGGAACACCGGUGGCGAAGGCGGGUCUCUGGGCAGUAACUGACGCGGAGGAGCGAAAGCAGGGGUAGCGAACAGGAUUAGAUACCCUGGUAGUCCAUGCCGUAAACGGUGGGCGCUAGGUGUAGGGGUCUUCCACGACUUCUGUGCCGUAGCUAACGCAUUAAGCGCCCCGCCUGGGGAGUACGGCCGCAAGGCUAAAACUCAAAUGAAUUGACGGGG